GUCCCUACGGGGCGCAGCAGUGAGGAAUAUUGGUCAAUGGACGCAAGUCUGAACCAGCCAUGCCGCGUGCAGGAAGACGGCUCUAUGAGUUGUAAACUGCUUUUGUACGAGGGUAAACGCAGAUACGUGUAUCUGUAUGAAAGUAUCGUACGAAUCAGGAUCGGCUAACUCCGUUACAGCAGCGGCGGUAAUACGGAGGAUUCAAGCGUUAUCCGGAUUUAUUGGGUUUAAAGGGUGGGUAGGCGGUCGGAUAAGUUAAUGGGGA
rnacentral:rRNA from 1 species